rnacentral:rRNA from 1 species
CUACGGGAGGCUCCAGUGGGGAAUAUUGCACAAUUGAGGAAACUCUGAUGCAGCAACGCCGCGUGGAGGAUGACACUUUUCGGAGCGUAAACUCCUUUUAUAUAGGAAGAAGAUGACGGUACUAUAUGAAUAAGCGCCGGCUAAUUCCGUGCCAGCAGCCGCGGUAAUACGGAGGGCGCAAGCGUUACUCGGAAUCACUGGGCGUAAAGAGCGUGUAGGCGGAUUAAAAAGUCAGAAGUGAAAUCCUAUAGCUUAACUAUAGAACUGCUUCUGAAACUCUUAAUCUAGAAUAUGGGAGAGGUAGAUGGAAUUUCUGGUGUAGGGGUAAAAUCCGUAGAGAUCAGAAGGAAUACCGAUUGCGAAGGCGAUCUACUAGAACAUUAUUGACGCUGAGACGCGAAAGCGUGGGGAGCAAACAGGAUUAGAUACCCUCGUAGUC